CAAACUGUGGAAAGCAUGUAUCGGCAAUCUUCCGUUAUUAUACGAAAUAACUGUCACGUGGGUACGAUACAAUGACUGUUACUUCCGUUCUCAUACAAAAUAACGGUUACUAUCGGAGCGUUGCAAUGACUGUUAGUUGCUCUAAAAAGACCUUGCAGUGGUGGGACCCGCUCUCCCGUGUGGGCAGCCGAGCCGAGCCGCGGUUACUCGUCAGCGCUCCGCCCACGUAACAGAGCUCGACGGACUCCGGUCGCUCCACGCCCCGCCUGUGUCCGUCGAUGGGGCGGCGAACCCCGCAACCCUACCAAGAAGUGGACGAAUCUCGACCAAACACCACGGUGGUGGCGAAGGGAUUGGAGAAGAUGAAGAUGAAGAAGACGACGGCCGUCCCUAUCCCGACCCUCCGAUGUCGUCGAAGGUGACGGACAAGGUGAGCGCGAGGGGGAGAGAAGGUGGAUGGGGCAGAGGCGACCGUGAGGGCUCUGGUUGAUGAUGACAGAAGGAGGGGUGAGCGCGAGGGGGAGAGAAGGUGGAUGGGGCGGAGGCGAUUAUGAGGGAUAUGGACAACGAUGAUAGCAGUGACAACGAUAGGGGUGAGCACGAGGGGGAGAGGAGGUGGACGGGGUGGAGGUGAUCGUGAGGGCUUUGGCUGGCAACGAUAGCAGCAACAGUGAGAGAGGUGAGCAUGAGGGGGAGAGGAGGCGACGACUAGAGCCCUCACGGUCGCCUUUGCCCCGUCCACCUCCCUGACAUCCCCCACGCUUAUCUCCGUCGCUCUUUACUAGGUUAAGCAGUGGCGACAAUGAGAUGAGCACGAGGGGGAAGAGCAAGGCGGAGGCAUUGCUGUAAAGGGUUACAACAACGUGCUAGGCGGCAAUAGGGGAGAGGAGGCGGAGGGCGAAGCGAAGGCGUCGAGAGGGAAAAGGCAACUCCACAACUAUAUCGACGUUAGCUCCAGCAUCAUCACCGUCUAGUACCAUCGGAAUGUUAAAUUUACUUUUUGUUGAUAAAAGUUGAUAUCGUUAAGGUAAAUAGACCUAGAUGUUUCACCUUCAUAAUUAUAAGGAUGUCAAUAUAACUUUUUAAAAUAUAAAUACAGAGAUACUAAAGGUGGCUAACUAGAGGAGAUAAUUUGUAAUUAACUCCGAUCAGUGAGAUAGGUAAUCUUAUUGAAUGCUUCCUACUUGAGUUAUUUUUGUUGGAUUAAAUAAUUUUAGUUAGUCAAUAGUUAUGGGUUGUGGUUUGCCAGUCUUGUGUAUUAGGGCUUCCUCCGAGCCAUGGUAAUUGACCAAGGUAAAGCCCUAGUGGAAGCUGUAGCCCAAGUGUUCUCAUGCUUCUCUGGUCGUUAAUGCCUCUGACAGAUUAUGAAGAGGAUUCAAUCUACGGCAUACUUCUUCCUGAUUACUUGAAGAAAAUAACUGGUCAAUUAUAAGCACUUGGCUACUGAAGACUGCAGUUAUCGGGAUGCUUACAAUUUUGACAAUGGAUCACCAACCAGCAUUGCCCUGUGGUCACGAAUGUAUCCAAUCUUGUAGCGAAUCUGUUAGCUGUUUUCAGAGCAUUCAAAUAUUAUCGGCCGCAUUGAUCCACCAGACAAUCUUGGAAAUGGCAAUGCCUGGAGAGGCCAAUUUGACGAGGUCUCAUUUACAUUCUUGCAUCACAGAAAUGUCAGUCUAGUAUCAAUAAGUGAUGACAUCAUUCCAAUUAACCAAGGUUACUCUUGCAACUGUGACCGUUUUCAAGUCACAAAAACAACACAUUGAUUUAUAUCGAAGUCUCAUGCAAUGAAUCAAUCUUCAUCCUUGGAUGCGAACAGUUGGGCUUUUUUGCAGUCACUUUUGGAGAGGUUUCAGAUUUUCUUCUCAUACAGGUGAUCCUUAUCACAAUCUUGUUUUUGUUAUGAUGCAAACCAUAUGUUGUAAUCUUAGAAAAAAUGACCAAAAUUGAAUAAAUAUAUCAUAUUUGUAGCCAAGAACCUUUGUCUACAAUGUUUGAUAGAAUUGUUAUUUUUAAUAAAAUAUGUUUAUAUCUUUUUCUACAUUUUCUCAUAUCAUUAAAUACUAAUUGUCUCACAUCUUCU